rnacentral:rRNA from 1 species
GUUGAACGCUGGCGGCAUGCCUUACACAUGCAAGUCGAACGGUAACAGGUUAAGCUGACGAGUGGCGAACGGGUGAGUAAUGUAUCGGAACGUGCCCAGUCGUGGGGGAUAACUGCUCGAAAGAGCAGCUAAUACCGCAUACGACCUGAGGGUGAAAGCGGGGGAUCGCAAGACCUCGCGCGAUUGGAGCGGCCGAUAUCAGAUUAGGUAGUUGGUGAGGUAAAGGCUCACCAAGCCGACGAUCUGUAGCUGGUCUGAGAGGACGACCAGCCACACUGGGACUGGGACACGGCCCAGACUCCUACGGGAGGCAGGAGUGGGGAAUUUUGGACAAUGGGCGCAAGCCUGAUCCAGCCAUGCCGCGUGCGGGAAGAAGGCCUUCGGGUUGUAAACCGCUUUUGUCAGGGAAGAAAAGGUUCUGGCUAAUACCUGGGACUCAUGACGGUACCUGAAGAAUAAGCACCGGCUAACUACGUGCCAGCCGCCGCCGUAAUAC